UCAUCAGAAACAUGACUUUGAUCUGCGUCCUCAUUUGGACUCUCCUCUGCUGCUGCUUCACAGAGUCCAGAGGACAGUACACAGUGACUCAGCCUGGAGCAGUGAGCUCUGCUCCGGGAGGCUCCGUCUCCAUCAGCUGUAGGAUCAGUCAGAAGAUCUAUUCAGACUGGUUAAGCUGGUACCAACAGAGAGAUGGAGAAUCUCCUAAACUCCUUAUUUACUAUAUUAGCACUCGUCAGUCAGGGACUCCAGAUCGUUUUACAGGCAGUGGAUCAAACUCUGACUUCACUCUGACCAUCAGUGGAGUUCAGACUGAAGAUGCAGCAGUUUACUACUGUCUCAGUGGUCACUAUCCAAACAGUCAGCGUGUGUUCACACAGUGA